ACCUCCAUACCAAAUUGAAAACAUUAGUUUUCGUCUUAUCACUGAGGUUAAGUAAUGCCAGGCCCGGUCAGUACUUGGGAGAGUGACCACUUGGUGAGGGGUGCU